AUAAAGUUUUAUUUUGGCUUUAAGAUUUGUUAUUAAUUUAAUUUACAUGUAAAUUUUUGUGAGAAUUUUUAUUUAUUUAAAUAGUAAAUAAUAUAAUUUUAUUCGCAGUAAUUAAUAUUAUUAAUUAAAGAAAUUUAGAAAUAGUAAUAUUAAAGAGUAUUGGCUAAAUUUGUGCCAGCAGCCGCGGUUAUACGAAUAAUACAAAUGAAUCUUUUUAGGAAAAGUUAAAUUGUUUAAUUAAAAAUAAAAAUAAAUUUAUUAGGUGAAAUUUUAAAUUUAUAUAAUUUUAAUUUUUAAAAAUUGAAGCUUAAAAAUUUUAUUAAUAAACUAGGAUUAGAUACCCUAUUAUUUAAAAUGUAAAAAAUAAACUUUAGGUAGUAGUAGUUAUGUUCUUGAAACUUAAAAAAUUUGGCGGUAUUUUAGUCUAUUCAGAGGAACCUGUUCUGUAAUCGAUAAUCCACGAUGGACCUAACUUAAAUUUGUAAUCAGUUUAUAUACCGUCGUUAUUGGAAUAUUUUAUAAGAAUGUUAAUUUUCAAGAUUUUUUAUAAGAAAGUAUAUCAGAUCAAGGUGUAGCUUAUAUUUAAGUAGAAAUGGGUUACAAUAAAUAUAUUUAUACGGAUAUAAAUUUGAAAUUUUUAUUGAAGGUGGAUUUGAUAGUAAAAUUAUAUAGAUUAAUAAUUUGAUUUUAGCUCUAAAAUAUGCACACAUCGCCCGUCACUCUUACUAUUAAGGUAAGAUAAGUCGUAACAUAGUAGAUGUACUGGAAAGUGUACCUAGAAUGC
rnacentral:ncRNA from 1 species